UUAAUUGAAGAGUUUGAUCAUGGCUCAGAUUGAACGCUGGCGGCAGGCCUAACACAUGCAAGUCGAGCGGCAGCACAGAGGAACUUGUUCCUUGGGUGGCGAGCGGCGGACGGGUGAGUAAUGCCUGGGAAAUUGCCCGGUAGAGGGGGGAUAACCAUUGGAAACGAUGGCUAAUACCGCAUAA
rnacentral:rRNA from 1 species